rnacentral:rRNA from 1 species
GCUCCAGACUCCUACGGGAGGCAGCAGUGGGGAAUAUUGCGCAAUGGGGGAAACCCUGACGCAGCAACGCCGCGUGAGUGAGGAAGUAUCUCGGUAUGUAAAGCUCUAUCAGCGGGGAAGAAGGAAGACGGUACCCGACUAAGAAGCCCCGGCUAACUACGUGCCAGCAGCCGCGGUAAUACGUAGGGGGCGAGCGUUAUCCGGAUUUACUGGGUGUAAAGGGAGCGUAGACGGCGUCGCAAGUCUGAAGUGAAAGCCCGUGGCUCAACCGCGGAACCGCUUUGGAAACUGCGAGGCUGGAGUGCUGGAGAGGUAAGCGGAAUUCCUGGUGUAGCGGUGAAAUGCGUAGAUAUUAGGAGGAACACCAGUGGCGAAGGCGGCUUACUGGACUGUAACUGACGUUGAGGCUCGAAAGCGUGGGGAGCAAACAGGAUUAGAUACCCCGGUAU